UACAGAGGGUGCAAGCGUUAAUCGGAAUUACUGGGCGUAAAGCGUGCGUAGUCGGUUAUUUAAGUCGGGCGUGAAAGCCCCGGGCUCAACCUGGGAAUUGCGUUCGAUACUGGAUAGCUAGAGUUCGGCAGAGGGAAGCGGAAUUUCGGGUGUAGCGGUGAAAUGCGUAGAUAUCUGGAGGAACACCGGUGGCGAAGGCGGCGUCCUGGACCAACACUGACACUGAGGAGCGAAAGCCAGGGGAGCAAACGGG
rnacentral:rRNA from 1 species